AUUGAACGCUGGCGGCAGGCUUAACACAUGCAAGUCGAGCGGAGAUGAGGUGCUUGCACCUUAUCUUAGCGGCGGACGGGUGAGUAAUGCUUAGGAAUCUGCCUAUUAGUGGGGGACAACAUUCCGAAAGGAAUGCUAAUACCGCAUACGUCCCUACGGGAGAAAGCAGGGGAUCUUCGGACCUUGCGCUAAUAGAUGAGCCUAAGUCGGAUUAGCUAGUUGGUGGGGUAAAGGCCUACCAAGGCGACGAUCUGUAGCGGGUCUGAGAGGAUGAUCCGCCACACUGGGACUGAGACACGGCCCAGACUCCUACGGGAGGCAGCAGUGGGGAAUAUUGGACAAUGGGGGGAACCCUGAUCCAGCCAUGCCGCGUGUGUGAAGAAGGCCUUAUGGUUGUAAAGCACUUUAAGCGAGGAGGAGGCUACUGAGACUAAUACUCUGGAU
rnacentral:rRNA from 1 species